AUUGAACGCUGGCGGCAGGCUUAACACAUGCAAGUCGAGCGAGCGGCGGACGGGUGAGUAAUGUCUGGGCCACUGCCUGAUGGAGGGGGAUAACUACUGGAAACGGUUGCUAAUACCGCAUACCAUAAUUUGUGCGCCGAGGCGCUUAGCGCGUAGGUGGGGUAAUGGCUCACCUAGGCGACGAUCCCUAGCUGGUCUGAGAGGAUGACCAGCCACACUGGGACUGAGACACGGUCCGGACUCCUACGAGAGGCAUCAGUGGGGAAUAUUGCACAAUGGGCGCAAGCCUGAUGCAGCCAUGCCGCGUGUGUGAAGAAGGCCUUCGGGUUGUAAAGCACUUUCAGCGAGGAGGCGUUACUCGCAGAAGAAGCACCGGCUAACUCCGUGCCAGCAGCCGCGGUAAUAC
rnacentral:rRNA from 1 species